GCCAUCCUGCUCCACGCUGUCAUAAUCCUCACGCAUCCGCGCUCGGGACCCCUCUUCUAUAAGGGACAUACACGAGAUCACCGAAAACUCCUCCUUUCUCCCAUUGUUCCUAUGAGUUUGUGAAUGCUCUCUGGAACCCCAGAAGAUAAAAGAAUAAGUAACUAUGACAGUCAUUUGUAACAAUCGUCUCUUUCCCAAUACACUACCAGCAAGCCGACCCACACCGCCUCCAGUCUUAGUGCCUUCCCGGUCACGCCCUCCCUUCUCCUGAAGGGGGCGGAAUCUCUAAUCCACCCAAGACCCGGUUCCUCGAUUCCCAUCCUUACGACCGAGGAAAAAAGAGUAAAUUUUCCUAUUAUAGCCUUCUCUCGCACCUUCCCCGCUUCCCACCAGCCGUCUCCACUGUCCUCACCGUCCCCAUCCUCAUCCAUGGCGAAAUCUUCGCCCCCAGCCUCGUGAAGAUCUAGCACGUCCGCCAUCUCGCCUUCGAUCGAGAUCUCGUCUGUGCCGCUCAGACACUAGAUGCUGUUGACUGGGGCAAAGAAUAAUGGGAGAAAAACAGCUGGGUCCUAAAUAACAGAGGGAAACCAACUUUCAAUAAAGUAUUCAACAAC